AUUGAACGCUGGCGGAAUGCUUUACACAUGCAAGUCGAACGGCAGCACGGACUUCGGUCUGGUGGCGAGUGGCGAACGGGUGAGUAAUGUAUCGGAACGUGCCCAGUCGUGGGGGAUAACGUAGUGAAAAUUACGCUAAUACCGCAUACGAUCUAUGAAUGAAAGCGGGGGAGCGCAAGACCUCGCGCGAUUCGAGCGGCUGAUAUCAGAUUAGGUAGUUGGUGGGGUAAAGGCCCACCAAGCCAACGAUCUGUAGCUGGUCUGAGAGGACGACCAGCCACACUGGACCUGAGACACGGUCCAGACUCCUACGGGAGGCAGCAGUGGGGAAUUUUGGACAAUGGGCGAAAGCCUGAUCCAGCCAUUCCGCGUGCAGGAUGAAGGCCCUCGGGUUGUAAACUGCUUUUGUACAGAACGAAAAGGUUUCUACUAAUACUAGGAGCUCAUGACGGUACUGUAAGAAUAAGCACCGGCUAACUACGUGCCAGCCGCCGCCGUAA
rnacentral:rRNA from 1 species